rnacentral:rRNA from 1 species
UACGUACGAGGCGAGCGUUAUCCGGAAUUACUGGGCGUAAAGCGUGCGCAGGCGGUGAUGUAAGACCGGAUGAUGAAAUCCCGGCUUAACCUGGGAACUGGCAUUGGUGACUGCAUUGCUGGAGUAUGGCAGAGGGGGUGGAAUUCCAGCGUGUAGCAGUGAAAUGCGUAGAGAUGUGGAGGAACACCGAUGGCGAAGGCAGCCCCCUG